rnacentral:lncRNA from 1 species
ACACAUCUGUCAUGCAAGAGCUACAGUCUCAGUGGAACUGUGGAACAUUAAUUCCCAUAUGUAGCUCCUGCUUUGGAGGAAGAAUGCUGCCAAGACAUUAAAAUACCCUCUAGGCACCGAAGAGCAGAUUCUACUAGUGGCAUAGUGUGUGUGGGGGCACAGAGGCAAUCUACCUAGGGCGUAGUAUUUUAGGAGGCACAGUCCUCCCUCCGUCCCUACCACCAUGGGCAGCAAUAGGUGCUCUCUGGGUGCGGCCUCCCUGUCUCCUCCCUUCCCUUGCUGGUUCAGCCAUGGCUCAGAGCCCAUUGCCAAGAGGUGCCAUCUGAGGGAGUGGCGUGGCAGAGGCCCAGAGCCCAUGGCCCUGGUACAUGCCCAGAGCACUGCCUGCCCCGGGACUGGUUCGGCACCAGCAAGCGGCACCCAGUCUUCAGGCCUUCCCCCGAGGAACAAUGUCUGACUAGGUCGGAGGGGCAGGCGGUCAGACCCCUGGGCCAGCUGCUCCUGCCUGGGACUGAGGGGAGGGGAGCAAAGGAGGAAGGAGGUGUGGAGCAGGGCUUGCCUUGCCAGCUAGGCAGCCUUACCUCCUGGCUCCUAUGGGGCUACAGCCAGGCCAGACUGUGUUGGAAGAAUGACAGAGGUACUGUGAGCAAGGCCGCCACUUGGUGGUGGGACAGGUGGCAGGGAGACCAGUGCCUGCUUGCUUACCUGCAAAGCAUUGCUGAGCCCAAGGCACACUACAACUUGCGCCUUCCUGUCCAGUGUGCAUCUGGGAGAGUUGGCAGAGGCAGAGUGGUGCCUCCAGCAAUGCCCUUGGCCUCUCUCCUGCCACUGUCUGGUGAGGAGAGGGAGGGAGGGAUCCAGGGGGCCGGCCCACAGCACUCCUUGCCUCCAAGGAGAAGAGAUGCCAGCGAUCAAGGAGGAAAGUGACCAAUGAUGGUGCCCGCAUCCCCCACAAUGGGGUGGAGAGGGGAAGGGAGGAAGCCAGCAUCAGAUGAUGCAC